UACGGAGGGUGCAAGCGUUAAUCGGAAUUACUGGGCGUAAAGCGCGCGUAGGCGGUUUUUUAAGUCGGAUGUGAAAGCCCCGGGCUCAACCUGGGAACUGCAUCCGAUACUGGAAGACCAGAAUGCGGGAGAGGGAGGUAGAAUUCCAUGUGUAGCAGUGAAAUGCGUAGAUAUAUGGAGGAAUACCAGUGGCGAAGGCGGCCUCCUGGCUCGACAUUGACGCUGAGGUGCGAAAGCGUGGGGAGCAAACGGG
rnacentral:rRNA from 1 species